rnacentral:rRNA from 1 species
GACGAACGCGGGCGGCGUGCGUAAUACAUGCAAGUAGAACGCUGAAGGAGGAGCUUGCUUCUCUGGAUGAGUUGCGAACGGGUGAGUAACGCGUAGGUAACCUGCCUGGUAGCGGGGGAUAACUAUUGGAAACGAUAGCUAAUACCGCAUAAGAGUAGAUGUUGCAUGACAUUUGCUUAAAAGGUGCAAUUGCAUCACUACCAGAUGGACCUGCGUUGUAUUAGCUAGUUGGUGGGGUAACGGCUCACCAAGGCGACGAUACAUGGCCGACCUGAGAGGGUGAUCGGCCACACUGGGACUGAGACACGGCCCAGACUCCUACGGGAGGCAGCAGUAGGGAAUCUUCGGCAAUGGACGGAAGUCUGACCGAGCAACGCCGCGUGAGUGAAGAAGGUUUUCGGAUCGUAAAGCUCUGUUGUAAGAGAAGAACGAGUGUGAGAGUGGAAAGUUCACACUGUGACGGUAUCUUACCAGAAAGGGACGGCUAACUACGUGCCAGCAGCCGCGGUAAUACGUAGGUGGCAAGCGUUAUCCGGAUUUAUUGGGCGUAAAGAGAGUGCAGGCGGUUUUCUAAGUCUGAUGUGAAAGCCUUCGGCUUAACCGGAGAAGUGCAUCGGAAACUGGAUAACUUGAGUGCAGAAGAGGGUAGUGGAACUCCAUGUGUAGCGGUGGAAUGCGUAGAUAUAUGGAAGAACACCAGUGGCGAAGGCGGCUACCUGGUCUGCAACUGACGCUGAGACUCGAAAGCAUGGGUAGCGAACAGGAUUAGAUACCCUGGUAGUCCAAGGGCGAAUUCCACAUUGGGCUGCAGCCCGGGGGAUCCACUAGUUCAAGACCGGCACGUCACGAGCAUGAGCUAUCAUCGU